rnacentral:misc_RNA from 1 species
AAUUAUCACAAAAGAUUGUGGAUCGGGAAAUGAAGAUUAAAGAACAUGAGGAAGCAUUUGGAAAGUUGGGCGAGGAGCACAAACAACUUGAUGGUAUGCUGCAGGAGUACAAGGAAAAAAUCAAACUUGCAGAAAUGAAGAUUGAAGAGAUGACAGAAGAAUACCAGAAGAAUCUUGAAAGUAAAGAUCAUAAAAUACAUGAACUGGAUAACAAGAUUGAAGAUCUAAAGAGGGAUCUAGAAAUGAAAGGAGAUGAAAUCAGCACACUGGUGGAGAAUGUUCGGAACACUG